AGGGCCGCCGCCCGAGUGCGCCGCCGCCGCCCGGGUGCUGUGCGGCCGACCGGACCGCGCGCGGGCUGGCUUUGUUUGUGCUUCGCCCGGGUCUCGCUCUCUGUGUGUCUCUGUCUCCCCGCAGCGCUGUGGGUUUGCAUCCCGCGGGCCCGGUCUCCUCCCGUCGCCACCGCCGCUGUCCCAAUCCUCGGAGCGCACAGGUGUGGGUGCCCCUCCCCCUGUAGGUCGGCGCUCCCGCCUCGCUGACCCCAACCUCCUCGGAAAGCGUGCCCAAGUCCCCCACCCACUCCAGAAGCUGGUGUCCCCUGAGCCUUUCAGGGAACUUUGGCCGUCAGCGUUCUCUGCGGCCAUUCUUCCCCACUGAGAAACCAAGGUGCGCCUCUACCUCACUGUUGCUUACACAUGGAAUAAAGUGGUUUCCUUAGGUGAACUUUGGAGACGCCGACCGCCUGUUGUGAAAUGUGCAGUCUGGGGCUGAGAAAUGCGCAGUCUAUGCUUCCCUGUCACGGCGAAGAAUUGAAGCACAAGGGAACAAGCUGCUGAGCACGCGGUUCAUCGAAGGAAAUGAUGUCUCAUGACUCAGGGCGUUAUUUGAGUUAGAUGGAUGUCACAACACAGACCGUCACGCAGUCCCAGCUUCCAGUUUCGUUGUGCUCCAGGUUAGUUCCCUGAUCUGAAUCUGCCUCACCAAGCUUAUCAUCCCCAAUGACUCCCAACUGCCUGAUUGUCCAGGAGUAGAACCCGUCACCGGGGCCAGAGAAGACCUUGGCUAUGCCCAGCAAUGCCAGCAGGUGCAGGCUGGCCAGCAGGCGGUGUCAGGGACCGGUCUCUGAACCGUGGGGCUGGACUGCCCAUGCCCGGAUGCCAUGUGGCUCUAAUGUUCUGUGAGCUGGAUGUGAGACCCCAGCGUGGGAGAACACGGAGCAGCGAUGCAGUCCAGCCCCAGUGUGUGCUCUGUCCUGGCCGUCCACGCUCACCUUCAGGGAACAAACAGUCCAUUCCAUCACCUAGCCAAUAGUAGAU